rnacentral:tRNA from 1 species
UAGCAACAUUGAAUUAUUCUAAUUAAUGAAACAAAAAAAAAGGCUUCUAACUUUUUUA